rnacentral:tRNA from 1 species
GCGGUUGUAGUCUAGUUUGGCAGGACAUCAGCCUCCCACGCUGACGACCCGGGUUCAAAUCCCGGCAACCGCA